AGCAGCCGCGGUAAUUCCAGCUCCAAUAGCGUAUAUUAAAGUUGUUGCAGUUAAAAAGCUCGUAGUUGAAUUUCGGGGUCAGUAGGUUGGUCAUGCCACUGGUAUGUACUGGUCUCACUGAUUCCUCCUUCCUGAUGAACUGUAAUGCCAUUAAUUUGGUGUUGCAGGGAACCUGGACUGUUACUUUGAAAAAUUAGAGUGUUUAAAGCAGGCUAACGCCUGAAUACAUUAGCAUGGAAUAAUGAAAUAGGACGUUCGAUCCUAUUUUGUUGGUUUCUAGGAUUGACGUAAUGAUUAAUAGGGAUAGUUGGGGGCAUUAGUAUUCAAUUGUCAGAGGUGAAAUUCUUGGAUUUAUUGAAGACUAACUACUGCGAAAGCAUUUGCCAAGGAUGUUUUCAUUAAUCAAGAACGAAAGUUAGGGGAUCGAAGACGAUCAGAUACCGUCGUAGU
rnacentral:rRNA from 1 species